rnacentral:sRNA from 1 species
AUGCGCACUAGCUCCAACAUCACCUGUGCUUGGUGGACAUCAGAAGGAAUGGUCCUCAGGAAGAACGGGUACCUGUCCCUACUGCUCAGUACCGUGCUGGUGGAGAAAAAGCUCACCUGGAACAACAGGGGUAUACCUGAAUUGUGUUAUACCUGUCUUGUGAGCUAUACCUGUGUAUUGUUCUAUCGCCUCUAUGUUUGAGUUAUAGAGUGAAUUUAUACUAUCGUUUAUUUAAAGUUUAUUAUAGAAUGCAUAUAAAACAAAGUCUGGGUUUUAAAACAAUACAUGUAUUCAAAUUGGAUAUUUUGCGCAAUGAGUAAACCCUUGUUAAAUAAAUCAUAACUUUUCCAAAUAAAUUUCAAAGAGGGAAAUUUGCAUUCUGUUAAAACGGUUAAGUAAUAUGCACUGUUUUCAUAUGAUUAUAUAUCUAGAUGACAUUGACUUUAGAACUGUAUACUUUCUACGACCAACUUUCCAUUAACUGGAAAACCUAGAGAAAAUAUAAAUUCUAUUAUAUGUUUUGUGCAAUUUAAGGCAUGGCUGGAUUUUGGCAGGCUGGAACAAAAUCAAUAGCACGGCCGCCUCUCUGUGUGUAUGAUCCAUAUUAACAACAUGUAUUAGUUUGUCCAACAAAUGUUGGAUAUUGAGAAGGCCUCCAUAGAGAGCGGUCCAAAAUGCCAGAAGGCAGAUUUAUAGAUGAAUUCUGAAGCAGGGGAUAUAUAUACGUGGUAUGAUCAGUAACUUCUUUGUAAGCCUGUUUCUUCUGUAUGCCAGUUUGUCUUAUAGAUGAUAUAUCAGUCUGUGAUUGAUUUCUAAAUGAAUUAGUUUCACUGU